rnacentral:rRNA from 1 species
GACGAACGCUGGCGGCGUGCUUAACACAUGCAAGUCGAACGGAAAGGCCCUGCUUUUGUGGGGUGCUCGAGUGGCGAACGGGUGAGUAACACGUGAGUAACCUGCCCUUGACUUUGGGAUAACUUCAGGAAACUGGGGCUAAUACCGGAUAGGAGCUCCUGCUGCUUGGGGGGGGUUGGAAGGUUUCGGCGGUUGGGGAUGGACUCGCGGCUUAUCAGCUUGUUGGUGGGGUAGUGGCUUACCAAGGCUUUGACGGGUAGCCGGCCUGAGAGGGUGACCGGCCACAUUGGGACUGAGAUACGGCCCAGACUCCUACGGGAGGCAGCAGUGGGGAAUAUUGCACAAUGGGCGGAAGCCUGAUGCAGCAACGCCGCGUGCGGGAUGACGGCCUUCGGGUUGUAAACCGCUUUCGCCUGUGACGAAGCGUGAGUGACGGUAAUGGGUAAAGAAGCACCGGCUAACUACGUG